rnacentral:rRNA from 1 species
ACUACAUGAAGCUGGAAUCGCUAGUAAUCGCGAAUCAGAAUGUCGCGGUGAAUACGUUCCCGGGUCUUGUACACACCGCCCGUCACACCAUGGGAGUCGGAAAUGCCCGAAGUCAGUGACCUAACCGAAAGGGAGGAGCUGCCGAAGGUGGAGCCGGUAACUGGGGUGAAGUCGUAACAAGGUAAC